rnacentral:piRNA from 1 species
AACGGAGAGACCAAGUAGCGGCCGGCGGACCAUACUUAACUAACGAGCUGUCUGCUACUGCUGUCCGCUAUCUGGCAUCUAAUGAACUAACUGACUUGACUUGACAAUGGUUACAGCUAAUUGACCAAAUGGGAUGGCCUUCUAGCUCUACUAAUGGCUGUAAUGAAUCAGACUGACCACGGCAAACCAGCGUGCGGCGUCCGAUUUCAACCACUGCCCUCUAACCCUUGGGUGGUUAGAGACGGCGCUAGGUGAAAUCUCGUCCACAAGCCAGCUGGCAAAGUACAAGUUUGACAUUGCAAAGUCCCCCGCGACAAUAACCAGGGAACCACCAAGCCCGCCACCCGACGCAACGCACGCAGAGGCGGCGCAAGACGCAUCUCCAACCCCAUCCGCGAAGAGAAACGAGGGGCCCCCAAGGUGCCCCUGGAGAGUGUGAAGCGUGCUGAUGCUGUAAGAACAAAGGUGAGUAUCCCUGGGUCAGAGGGAAAGAGAGGAAGAGGUUUCAAGUAAAGAAAGGUAGGCAAUUGUGAAAAGGUUGAUUUAAAAUUAAAAAUAAAAAAUAAAAAGAAAAGAGAGAGAAUUACUAGUAAUAAUAGAAUAAAGAAAAAUUAAAAAUAGCAAAAAUUGGAUAAAUAAAUAAGGAGAUAGGUGAGAAUAGUAGAAAUAUUAAAGUUAUAGUAUUAUUAAUAAUAAAAUUAAGUAAGAUUAGAAAUAGAAAGAAUAAAGAUAUUUUAAUAAUUAUAGUGAGAAUAAAAUAAAUAAUUAAAGAAGGAAAAAGAUUUAGAAGAGCACAGGAUAGAAGAAAUCGAUAAAUAUAGAAGAGCACACAGCGCCUGGGGAGGUUGGUGUAGAACGCAAAAAAAAAAAGGACCUUAUCAAAGGAGCCAGACAUUUUUUUUUUUUUCUGAGGAGAAAGUAAUUCCAGAGUACAAAAACUGGAGGUACUAAACCGCACCUUUUGCCAACCAAUGAAAAUGAGCGGCCGCCAGACCAUAAAACCCCCGGUUGUGACGUCGCGCGAUUAAUCGACCAAUCAGCGAGCGGCGUACAAUUUCAACCGCUGCCCUCUAAACCUUGGGUGAAUAGAGACGGCGCUUGGUGAAAUCCCGACCACAAGCCAGCUGGCAAAUUAAAAGUUUGACACCGCAUACAUAAUUAGUGAUACACGCAUAUGCAGGUAAAACACUGAUGUAAAGUUUAGGUGGAAUUAGAGUCGGGAAUCUCCUCUGAUUCCACCUCUCGGAUCCGCGGUCUCAGCCUGUCGCAAGCCAGGAGAAAAUCGAUACAGGCUCGCCAGGUUAAACAACUGUGAGUGAAGUCGCGGAGCGCCCUCGGUGUGUAACCGAGUUCCCUCCCCGCUAUAAAAAAUAGACGAGUUCUGAGGGAGUCCAGACUGUCACACUCGAGCAUGAUAUGAUCCAGAGUUUCCUCCGCUCCAGAGUCACAAAAAGGGCAGAUAGGAUCAUCAAUGAAUCCAUAUCUGUGAGCAAAGCUGUCUGUCCAUGUGUGACCAGUCAGCAGGCCAAUCACGGCGUGGACACUGGGGACGAUGUACGCAUGUUUUUUGUCCAAGAGACUCAUUGGAGAAAGGCCAAAGCGGGUGAAGAUUCUGCGCUCGGCGGAGAUGAAUCUGUCCUGCCAAGCCGCCCACGCCCGCUUGUAGAUUAUCGAUUUAAGUUUCGACAGCGGUGCGAGGCGAUAGCAGCUCGGGAGAUCAGAUUCCGCCCCGCGUUUCGCGAGUACAUCAGCUACCUCAUUACCAAAAAUCCCGCUGUGGCCCUUGAUCCAUUGUAUGGUACAUCUGUUCCCAUUGCGGUUCAGUUGUGAAAUCAGCAACAGGGCUCUGUUUACUAGGAGGUUGCCAGUUCUGGUGUUUAGAACGGAUUUCACAACUGAGAGGUUAUCCAGGAGAAUUUCAAUGGUGUAAUUGUCGGGAAGCUUUGAGGCGUCCUCAAGUGCUUUAAUCAAGCCAAGUGCCUCCGCUUGGAAGACAGAACAGUACGGGGACAGGACAAAACUCUCACGCAAUUCAUUCAUUGAGCCAUUCGCACACACUCUAUAUAGGCCUGUGCCAACUCCAGUUUUAGUCUUGGAACCAUCUGUGUAGGAGGUGACGUCAGCCGAAAGAUCAGGAAUAUUAAUGGGAGCGGAGUAAUAGGGAGGAUAGGGAAGUGGGUGAGGGCAGGGAGGAGGUUCGACUGGAAAAUCGGCGUCAACAAAACUGUGCUUUUUAAAGUACAAUUCCGCUUUGGCGCCGACAUCCAGAUCGAGAGGGAGAACACGGGAAAUAGAGAUGAGAGAGCAAGAGUCAGUUGUUUUAAACGCGCGGCAUGUCCUGAUGAGGAACGGGCGCUGCGCGCUUAAGAGAGUAUUUAAAGAGCGUUGUUUUAGAUUAGGAAACCAAACAGGAGAGGCGUAGGAGAUGGCUGGGACCACAACCUGUAGAUAGAGCAUCCUCAGGGCGCGGAAACCAAAGCCAAAAUUGGAGUUGGCGGCUGCUGUCAAACGCGGGAGAAAUCCGCGGACUCUGGUGCAAACCUCAAUCACAUGCUGGUGGAAGGAGAGGCGCCGAGGUGUGGCCUGCAUAAAUUGGAACUCAGCGUGAGGAAGUGUCAGGCCAUGCUCCUUCUAAGACGUACUGGCAGGCUACUAAAACCUAGCUGCGAUCUAACCAUUAAUGGUCAACCCAUUCAAUGGAGCGACUCAAUCAAAGUGCUGGGAGUAAGAUUUGAACUAACUGACUUGCGGGACAAGCCCUUUUUAUAUGCUCAAGUCUUACGUCACCGGACGUCUGACGCCAUGGCGUCGACAGGGCGCUUGACCUUAUUUGGCUGCGGUUAAGCUCUGUUACGUCAUUUUAUUGGCGCCGCGUUGACGGGGCGGUUGACCUCAUUGUCUGCGGGAUAAGCCCUCCUGGUUUCUACGUUCCCUCUAGAUGUACCUCUUUAUUUAAUUGAACACUCAAAAAUGAUACAUACAAAGUUAAAUUGAUUAAAGGAGGAUUGUGGGUACACUGAUUAACAGUCCAUAUUAGAGUAGGGGGUGUAAGAAGAGGUGGUGAGUAUUUACACAGGUGUUUAUAAUUCUUAAAUUACCACAUAUAUAUGUCGUAAACCCGGGUAAGCCAACAAGUGAGUUGGAAGCAGUCGGGGUUGAGUGGCAAGGCGUGCAGAGUGGGAAGUCCGCACGGGACAGUAAGGACAAAGUUUGGGAUCAAAAGACGCUCUCCUAGUACGUCUCACGUGACACCAGGACCAGGGGAAAGUUGAGGAUUAACUGAGGAAAGCUCGGUGUCCUGCAUGAAGCCGCGGGGGCAGAGAGGAGCCAAAACGGCGGCCACGAGGGCCGUCGUGAGACCUAGCACUGUCCGAAAAUAUCCACUGUAACCUAACUAACUGUCAACAUCCGGACCAACGCCCCAUCUUUGUCCCUCUCUGGAUCCCCCGGGUGUCCGGUAGCAAGCUGGUGUCACUUUGAGACGACUAGAAAAGUUGUCAUACUUUAUUACUUACACAUCACAUUGUUUAAAUUACGAUAGAAUGUGCCCCUGGUGAGAAAGGUUUGAUUAGGGGAGUGAAAUAAAAUGGAGCGAAAAGCUAGCAAACCUAUUAAAUGGGAAAUAAUUUGGGGCACAAAAAAAUUAGUUACUAGAACAAAAAUAAAGAGGAGAGAGUAGUGGUUAUACACUGAUAUAAUAUUAUAAAAAUACAAAAUAUAUAAGGAGUAGAUAGGAAGGAUAAAUUUAAAGUAAAUACACACAAUAGCGAGGGUAAAUAUUUGGGAAAGUUAGGUAUACUAUUUACAGUUUUUUGUUACUUAAGGAGCCAUGAGUAUUUACAACAUAGUUUCAGGGAUGUAAUACAGGAACGAAGAGAAGUAGAGAUAAUAAAAGUAACAUAAAAUAUAAAAGAAAAUUGACUUAAGCAAAAGGUUUGGGAUAGGCAGUGACGCAGUGAAGAAUAAAGGAAGAGGGUCUGAAUUUGUUUCUGCAAAGGACAACUCAGGAGUUGCAAUACGAGCUUAGAAGCGAAGUAUUGUUUGCAGGGAUCAGAUAUCUCAAGAUGCCCUGUAAGUAGCAUUAGAUCAGAUGGGCAAAAGGCGUGAAGUUCGAAGGAGAGGUAGGUAAUGGGAGAAUAUGGGAAAGAAAAGCUUGCUGAGAGAGGUUAAAAAGAGAUGGAGGCUCAAGAGCUACGCUUCUGUCGGUGAUUGAGCUCGACCAGAUGAAAAAAUAAAGUAAAAGAAAAAUGAGUGGGCGCAUCAUGCUGAUGAUGGCGAUGGGUCGAGCGUGAGAAAAAAAAAAUCUCGCUGGUUACCCAAGCUCUCCAUGUGGAGUUAACAUGUGGAGGAAGAGUGUACCAGGUCAAUGAAUCAUAAAAAAAAUUGUUGACGAGCAGGAGUCUCAGGAACCGUUGAAGAGGUUAAAGUAUGGAGGUAGAUCGUGAAAACAGGGUUCGACUGUUGCCAUUGAUUGAUUGAACCCGGGUUUGAGGAAAAAAGAAUGAAAUGAAGAAUGCUAGGACGGUGACCCGGGUGUAAAUAAAAAAUAAAUAAAAAUAAGCCAUGGAUUUUCCUGAACACACCAUCAGGAUGGUAUGGCGAGGAAGGAAUAGUCCACUGGGGCAAAUCAAUAACAAAAAAAAAAGUCGGCGAACAGGAACUCUGCGAUGGACGCGGGGUGGUUAGAACGAAGGUAUAGAAGGCCUAUGGAAAAAGAUCAAGAAACGAGAGAAGUAUGGAAGGCAGAGUUGGAAGGAUCAAGAUAUGAGAAGGGACAGUUGGUAGAAAGGCGUCACUGUUAAAACAAAUUUUUCAAGUUAAAUUAUCUUAUACGUAGGAUAUGGAAAAUUAAAACAAAUGGUGUCAAAGAAUAUAAAGUUUCAGAUGAUGUUUAUAUAGAUUUUAGCUGUUUAGGGAUGGAAGGAAAAGAAGUAUCAUAAUGUAAAAGAAAUAUCCAAAAUAUAUGGAUCGAUUCUACAAUAUAAAAUGGCACACACAUCAAGGAUCGUAAAAAUAUAAAUGAAUAAUAUUUAAAAAUAUAGUAAGUAUUUAGGUUAGUGUGUUCCCCACGUGAUGCAAUGCUUAUAAACGCAAAUUAGACGAUGUUUGGAAAAGUCAAAAGUGGUAAAUAAAUUGAAAUGCCAUUAUGGUUUGUUUUUUUAUUUUUUCAUACUUAGAAUUUCAGAGACGUCUCACAUGGUGAGAGAGAGAAAAAGGAAAACGAACUUAUCAAAAGUAGUAAAAUGUUACAAGUAAACUUAUAAUGGAUAUCUGAAGGUUUAAAAUGACGCAGUGGUAAAAAGAGAGGAAGUCUGAGUUGAUUCUUGCAAUGGCGUUCGGCAAUGCAAUACGUUCCUGUGUAAAUGAGGUAUUGUUUUCAUUGACCGAACUCCCAACACUUUCCAUAAUCAACAUUAGAUCAAACAGGGAAGGUCGGUAAGUUGAAAGUGGAGAAAUGGGGAAAGGUGGAGUCAAGAGUUGCUCUGUUGCCAAUGAUCAUUGAGCUCGGAUGAAAAUGGAAAAAAAAGUAAUAAAAUGGUAAAAAUGAUGGUUGUAAUAAUGAUCCGAGUGUUGAGAUAAAAAACUCGAACUGGUCGCCUGGGCUCACUGUUGGGAAAUAUACAGCGAGGAAUGUUGAGCCAGCAAGUUGAAUCAAAAUUAAAAAAAAUAAAAGUUUGGUUGGCGAGCAGGAGACUCUUGACUGCGGGAAAUAUGAAAGGUGAGGAAGGUAAAGGGUACUGUUGCCAUAGAUGAUUGAACAACCCGACAUUGUUGAAUGUAAUGAAUGAUGUUGUCGGGUGAUGGAUAAAAAAAAGAAGAAAGAAUCUUUGGAUUUCCUGAACUCGUUAUCGGGAAUUGUAUACCGAGGAAGGAUGGUCCAAUAGAUGAAUUAUUAAAAAUAAAAUAAAAUGGGUGGCAACAGGAACCCUAUGGUAGACUGUAUGAGGUUGAAAGAAAAUGGGUUAAGGAGGUAUGAGCAAGUGAUAUAGGAAAAUAGGAUUGGGAGAGAGAGACAGAGAGAGGCGUCAAUAUGAAAUAAAAUAAUAAUCUAAUAAAAACAAUGAUAUCAGAAAUAAGACGAUCCCAUGGUAUUUAAAAAAUAUAUAAAUGCUAUAAAAAACUCAAAACAUGUUUAAAAUUUCGAAGUUGUAAAGUUUUAAAUCUAUAUAUGAUGACAGAUGAAAAAAUACUCAAAUAUUAAUAAUUAAAAUGAUUGCUGAUGGUUGAAUAUUCUAAGAUAUAAUGACUAAUGAUAAUAGUAACACAAAAUGUUUAUAAUAAUGGUGGGGUUUGGAUGGUUUAUAAUGGUUGAGUGGUUGAGGUAUAGAAAAAUAAAACAAAGACAUAUAGCAUACAAAUAUAAAAAAAGGGUAUAGCUUGAUGGAUGGCAUUGACGAUGAUGUUUUGUUCUGGUAAUAAGAUUGGGAGGCCGAGUUGAGCACAUUGAAGAGCGACAGGGGCUCACCUUUGAGAAGCUCGUGGAGCUCGAAGACCUGUACACGAUGUCAUUCCGCACGGCUUCCGCAAACGGUUUUCGCCGAAUAAGUCCCGUCGUGAGGUGCCAUAGGCGAGGCAUAGGCACGUGACGCCGUCACUUCUUGGAGGGCCUCGGUGAGUCGGUUUACCAAGUUGGCCCAGCUGGGCCGGAUGAAAGUGGCGGGCAACUUAGAAGCGUCCAUGUAGCGUUCCCCGUCUUUGUCCAUAGUCCUUUGUUCACUGUCCGCCAUCAAUA